GAGGGCAUAGCUUAAGUGAUAGAGUGCAUGCUUAGCAUGUAUGAGGCCUGGGGUUCAAUUCCCAGUAACUCCU
rnacentral:tRNA from 1 species